UACAGAGGGUGCAAGCGUUAAUCGGAGUUACUGGGCGUAAAGGGCGCGUAGGCGGUUUGUUAAGUGAGUUGUGAAAGCCCUGGGCUUAACCUGGGAAUGGCAACUUAAACUGGCGAGCUAGAGUACUGUAGAGGGUAGUGGAAUUUCCGGUGUAGCGGUGAAAUGCGUAGAGAUCGGAAGGAACACCAGUGGCGAAGGCGGCUACCUGGACAGAUACUGACGCUGAGGCGCGAGAGCGUGGGGAGCAAACAGG
rnacentral:rRNA from 1 species